AUCGAACGCUGGCGGCAGGCCUAACACAUGCAAGUCGAGCGGAGCUGCGGACGGGUGAGGAAUGCCUAGGAAUCUGCCUGGUAUUUGGUGAUACCGUCCUGAAACGGGCGCUUAUAUCUCAUAUUAUCAGAUGGUCUGAGGGCGGAUUUGCUCGUUGGUGGGGCAAAGGCCUACCAAGGCGACGAUCCGUAACUGGUCUGAGAGGAGGAUCAGUCACACGGGAACGGAGACACGGUCCAGAGUCCUCCGGGAGGGAGCGGUGGGGAAUAUGGGGCAAUGGGCGAAAGGCUGAUCAAGCCAAGCCGCGUGUGUGAAGAAGGUCUUCGGAUUGUAAAGCACUUUAAGUUGGGAGGCGUUACCAACAGAAUAAGCAACGGCUAACUUCGUGCCAGCCGCCGCGGUAAUAC
rnacentral:rRNA from 1 species